rnacentral:piRNA from 1 species
UGCUUAGGCAUGUCAAGAAGAUGGCGGAA